ensembl:lncRNA
UUUUCUUUGCUGUUCCCUCUUUUUUUUUUCGUGGGCCAGGAUCAAUAGCAGUGAACUUUGGCCUUGCAGCACUUGAAGGCAUCACUGAAAAUUGUGGCUUUUUUUGUGGUAAGACAUUUAGAACAAACACCUCCACCUCACAAAACCAAAAGCAACUGACCAACCAAAGAAAGCACCCCAAAUCCAGACCUGUUCCAGCUUAAACCAAUGGCACCAACGGAGCUCAAAGGAUGUGACGUUCAAGUGGGAAAUGAAGAAAGCAGAACGUAGGGGAUAAGAGCUACCAAUGCAGCUCAGGUGGGUUCAUCUGCAAGGACAGGCUCCCAG